GUGAACAAACGUCACGUCUGCUUUUGUUGUCAGAGUUACACUACUGUUGGAUGGUUCUGACUUUUUUACAUCAAUCUGUGUUUACGUCUGGCUGCAUUUAGGCUCUACAAGUUGAUUUUAAUGUUAGUGAAAUGAAUGGAAACAAAUGGCUGCCUUGAACGGAGGAAAAACACAUUAAAAAGUCUAAAACAGCACUGCAUUCUUGGGAAGAUACAGUAAAGUGACAUACCUGUGAUUUGUAGUGAAUGAGGGUGCUUUAGUUUUUAAAGCUGUAUGUUUCUGCAUGUAGAGGUGUCGUGGCAGUCUGUUAAUUUUGCAUGUUGAUACCACUGGGCUUAUGUUGUUGAUUUAGAUGCAUUAAAAAUACAAGUUGCACAAGUCAAAGAGUAUCUGACUGUAGUUAAUGUGCUGGUUCAUAUGUUGUACAAAACUCCACCAUACAGAUGGAUAUAAUAACAUUUUUUUUAUUCUCUUUUUUUUUUUUUAACAGACUUCUAUCAGCUAUAGUAAGAAGAACCCCAAUUGUUACUACCAAGGUGGAAAGGAAGUCUGCUAAGUCCGGGUUUUGGUUGGGCGUAUCUGACUUUCUCACCAGAGACAGCAGUUUACGUCCUGUCUCAGACCAACAGGUGAAAGCGAGACUAUAACUUUUGCAAGAAAAAGUAACACAGCCUCCCUCUUUGAAAAUGAAAAGUAACUCUAUGUCGCCGAUGGAAUCCAUUGUGACUGCUGUGAAUCCUCCUCCAUGACGGAGCAACAUCAAAACUUUUCAGAGCCACCUUUCAAGCCUGCAAGGGAUCUGUAAAUGGAGAUCCAAGGAUGCAGAAGGAAUUCAAAUCUUCGACAAGAGCAGCUGUUGUGUUCAGGGCUGCUGACUGACGUGUACGCCAACCUGAAGCAGGAGGUGUUCUGUGUCUUGGUAAGGCAGGUGAAAGCACCCGGGGCUGUCGUCGUCAGGUGACCAAAAGGAGGACGGCUUCAUGUAGUGGAGUUCGCGGCGUACACAGCGAGGGCACGGCUGAGCUUUCUGUCGACACUCGGCGUGGAAC